CUUGUUCCUGGAACUGUAACCAAACCAGGGGCUUUUGCUACUUUACCUCCUGCAGCUGUGACGCCAGUUUUCAUUUUGAAGAGAACAGUUCAUCUGCCGUCUAUGCCAAUCCCUGCAUAUUGCUGUUUUCACCAGAAUUUUGUCACGGGCUCCGGACCCAAGUAGCUAACUUUGAAUGGCAUUUCAGGUCCGACUCCGAUGCUGUUUUUCUAGAAAGCCUUCCUCGGCCAACUGAGGCCAGCAAGUUACCCUGUUUUCUGCCUCCUUGUGAUCCUUUCUGCCAUCGCCUUGGACACUCACCGUAGGCUACAGCAAUGACUGAUGAGAUGUGGCCAUCAUUGGCUUUAAAUCCCCAGCAUCUAACAUUACACAUCUGACACCCAGCAGGUGUCCAGUGAGUACCUGUUCCCUAUGUUUAUGUGUGUAUAUAAGUGACAUUUCUCCUGUCAAGUAGGUAAGUAUCUUACAAGCUUGGGAUUCUCAACAAUAGCUAACUUGUGUAACAUAGACAAUAAAUAAGAAAAGGAUUGAAAAAUUCUAUAAUUCUAUAGGUGGUAGGUAGGUUUUAUAGACACAUCGGACAGGCAUGGGGUGGGGGUAUUACAGGGCCAGUGGAAACAGCAUAAGCAAGUGACUGGAAAGAGGGUGAGUUGCCUAGCAAGGGACAGGCAUGUGGAGGAUUAGU
rnacentral:lncRNA from 1 species